rnacentral:rRNA from 1 species
UACGGGGGGGGCAAGCGUUGUUCGGAAUUACUGGGCGUAAAGGGCUCGUAGGCGGCCAACUAAGUCAGACGUGAAAUCCCUCGGCUUAACCGGGGAACUGCGUCUGAUACUGGAUGGCUUGAGUUUGGGAGAGGGAUGCGGAAUUCCAGGUGUAGCGGAUGAAAUGCGUAGAUAUCUGGAGGAACACCGGUGGCGAAGGCGGCAUCCUGGACCAACACUGACGCUGAGUGAGCGAAAGCCAGGGAGCAAACGGGG